GGCCCGUUCGUCUAGGGGACUAGGAUGCCACCCUUUCAAGGUGGAGACAAGAGUUCGAAUCUCUUACGGGCUA
rnacentral:tRNA from 3 species